rnacentral:rRNA from 1 species
GACGAACGCUGGCGGCGUGCUUAACACAUGCGAGUCGAACGGAAAGGCCCCUUUGGGGGUACUCGAGUGGCGAACGGGUGAGUAACACGUGAGUAACCUGCCCUUGACUUCGGGAUAACUUCAGUAAACUGGGGCUAAUACCGGAUAGGAAUCCUUGCUGCAUGGUGGGGGUUGGAAAGCUUCGGCGGUUUUGGAUGGACUCGCGGCUUAUCAGCUUGUUGGUGGGGUAGUGGCUUACCAAGGCUUUGACGGGUAGCCGGCCUGAGAGGGCGACCGGCCACAUUGGGACUGAGAUACGGCCCAGACUCCUACGGGAGGCAGCAGUGGGGAAUAUUGCACAAUGGGCGGAAGCCUGAUGCAGCAACGCCGCGUGCGGGAUGACGGCCUUCGGGUUGUAAACCGCUUUCAGCAGGGGCGAAGCUUUUGUGACGGUACCUGCAGAAGAAGCACCGGCUAACUACGUG